rnacentral:rRNA from 1 species
AUUGAACGCUGGCGGCAGGCCUAACACAUGCAAGUCGAGCGGAUGAAGGGAGCUUGCUCCUGGAUUCAGCGGCGGACGGGUGAGUAAUGCCUAGGAAUCUGCCUGGUAGUGGGGGAUAACGUCCGGAAACGGGCGCUAAUACCGCAUACGUCCUGAGGGAGAAAGUGGGGGAUCUUCGGACCUCACGCUAUCAGAUGAGCCUAGGUCGGAUUAGCUAGUUGGUGGGGUAAAGGCCUACCAAGGCGACGAUCCGUAACUGGUCUGAGAGGAUGAUCAGUCACACUGGAACUGAGACACGGUCCAGACUCCUACGGGAGGCAACAGGGGGGAAUAUUGGACAAUGGGCGAAAGCCUGAUCCAGCCAUGCCGCGUGUGUGAAGAAGGUCUUCGGAUUGUAAAGAUGUUUAAGUUGGGAGGAAGGGCAGUAAGUUAAUACCUUGCUGUUUUGACGGUACCAACAGAAUAAGCACCGGCUAACUUCGUG